AACGAACGCUGGCGGCGUGGAUAAGACAUGCAAGUCGAACGGGAUCAUUGAGGUAGCAAUAUCGCGAUGGUCUAGUGGCGAACGGGUGCGUAACACGUGGAUACAUUCCGGGAAGCGGGGAUAGCCCAGGGAAACUUGGAUUAAUACCGCAUGUGGUCGAAAGACUAAAGGCAGGGACCGCAAGGCCUGCCACUUCCCGAUUGGUCCGCGGCCUAUCAGCUAGUUGGCGGGGUAAAAGCCCACCAAGGCUACGACGGGUAGCUGGUCUUAGAGGACGACCAGCCACACUGGAACUGAGACACGGUCCAGACACCUACGGGUGGCAGCAGUCGAGAAUCUUUCACAAUGGGGGCAACCCUGAUGGAGCGACGCCGCGUGGAGGAUAAGGUCUUCGGAUUGUAAACUCCUGUCAUGUGUGAACAAGGCUGCCGUGUUAAUAGCAUGGCAGAUUGAUGGUAACACAAGAGGAAGAGACGGCUAACUCUGUGCCAGCAGCC
rnacentral:rRNA from 1 species